rnacentral:rRNA from 1 species
GAUGAACGCUGGCGGCGUGCUUAACACAUGCAAGUCGAGCGAAGCACUUAGGAAAGAUUCUUCGGAUGAUUACCUAUUUGACUGAGCGGCGGACGGGUGAGUAACGCGUGGGUAACCUGCCUCAUACAGGGGGAUAACAGUUAGAAAUGACUGCUAAUACCGCAUAAGACCACAGCACCGCAUGGUGCAGGGGUAAAAACUCCGGUGGUAUGAGAUGGACCCGCGUCUGAUUAGUUAGUUGGUGGGGUAAUGGCCUACCAAGGCGACGAUCAGUAGCCGACCUGAGAGGGUGACCGGCCACAUUGGGACUGAGACACGGCCCAAACUCCUACGGGAGGCAGCAGUGGGGAAUAUUGCACAAUGGGGGAAACCCUGAUGCAGCGACGCCGCGUGAGCGAAGAAGUAUUUCGGUAUGUAAAGCUCUAUCAGCAGGGAAGAAAAUGACGGUACCUGACUAAGAAGCCCCGGCUAACUACGUGCCAGCCGCCGCCGUAA